UCUGUUCACAAAAUGUCUGCCAUGUUUUGUCUGUGAUUCAAGUAAUGGGUUGAGAGAAAAGCAGAUAUGUACAUCAAUAUCAGAUACAGUGUGUGAACCUCUUCCAGGUUAUUACUGUAUAGACUUGCUCUCCAACUGUAAAAAGGCCAUGAAACAUUUCAACCCCCUGUUCACCUGGCCAAUACAUCAACCAAACCGGAACAGAAUUUAGUGAUACAGUGUGUGAUAUCUGUCCUGAUGGUUCAUAUUCAGAUGGUACAUUCUGUAAAUUGCAUACAAACUGUGAAUCUCUUGGAAAAACAACAGUCAAAGCAGGAACUGAGACGUCUGAUGUUGAAUGCAGUAAAGGAACACCUUAUUUACAGAUUGUAAUUCCAUCUAUGUGCGGAGUAUUUGUGGUGCUUGUCAUAAUUGCAAUUACUAUAAAAAGAAAAAAUAACUAUUCAGGGUUUUGCCUGGGUCAAAAAUGGUCUUUGGUGGUGGCUGACGGUCAUCCACACACACAGUAAAAAUAACUCGCGUGAUCUGCAAGCAAAUUACUGACAAUAAAUUUUAAACAAAUGCAAAGAAACCAUUUGUGAUUUUUGCUUAUCCUAUUAAUUCAUGAAAUAUAAAAACAAUCAAUGUCAAGACAUAAUAAAACAAAGUGUAAUUUACAUGUAAAUGUCAACAUUACCAAAGUAGUUAAUUAGGGGAAAAAAAUAAAGAACUGGUCAUUGUUUACACUUGGUUGCUCACACUUUUUAUUUUAUUUUAUUUUGGCCCCUAUUUUCUUCCAGACUGUGGCUGAGAAUUGUUCUGUUUUACAACCUCUUCCAAAUUACUCUGACUGUCAUCCUUUCUUGCCCUAUUUGCAAAAAAAAAAAGCUGAUU